CUUUCUAUGAACUGUCAAAGCAGAAAGAGAAGAAGAAGAGAAAAAUUGGAAAAAUAUUAGGAAUUACAAUGCAACAAUUAGGCUACUAAUUUUCUAAUUUCACCUAAUCAUUCAGAUAUAUGGAGAAUUAUGGUAAUAAAGUAGUAAAGCCAUGCACCACAUUAUAUCCAGAAUGGAGAACAAAGGAAGGAAUUCCAUGUGAUGGUAAUGAAGGGGAGGAAGUGGAAAUAAGGCGAUGAGAAGGCAGGAAACAAAAAAGACAAAGGAGACCACUGACCCUUUACUGUGAAAGCAAAUAAAAAGCAAAAUUGCACAGUUCAUAGGUGCUCCAAGCCCUCCAGAGAGAAGAUGCGUAAGGUUGCCAGUCAGCAGAUGUGGAAGCCCUGCAAGAUCUAUUUGAAGCAGCCAUCCUCUUUGAAGUGGUUCAUCUCAAAUGUUACCUUUCCAAUGGAAAAUUUUAGUCCCGGAGACUUGCAGGCACUAAGAUACAUGUCUGUGUGAAACCUUUCCUCUAGCCCUUCUCGCAGCACAGAGUGGGUGGGUUCACUGUGCCAAGACUGAUGUAGGCACCUCUCCUUUGCCCACAGGCCAUUCUGUGGUGCUUCAUCACAUGCUCUGCUCCCUUUGCCCAGUCAUAGAGCAGGUCUGUUGAGAUCAGGAGCUGUGCUAUUUAUGCAUCCUUUAAUUCUCACUUUCAACAAACACUGAGUGCCUCCAUGUGCCUGGUAAACUGUCAGGUGCUGAGGAUACAGCUAUUACCAAAACCAGAUGUGGUUUUUGUCCACAGGGAGCUGUAUAGACUUCUAGAGAAAACAGACACUUAUCAAAGGAUCACGUGAAUAAUCAUCUAACUAUAAAACUGAGCACAGAGUACCAUGAGUGUAUAAUUUGAUGUAUUUAGAGGGAUCAAGACUUUUCUGUGAAGUAGCAACCUACCUGAAGUCUGAUAGUUAAGUAGGAAUUACCUUGGAAAAAAUAGAGGGAAGGGAAUAACACUCAAGUGUAGAAUCAGCACCAAGUGGGAAGGCCUGUGGAAGUACGGCUCAUGCACUCCAAAUCUAUUUGUCAACAGAGCUGUUACUCGGAAUUGCUGCCUGAAGUGGAAAAUGUUUGGCAUUUCUGGCCUUCAUCCACUGAUAACCAGUGUCCUGGGCCCAAACCUCACUCUGACCCUUUUGACAACCAAAUACUCCCCCACAUAUUGAAACAUAUCUAAGGCAGCUUAACACCUCCAGUUAAGAACCACUACCUGAGGCUUAAAAAAGGCUCUUGCAUUUAAAAGUGGUUGGCAGGGACUUUGGGGAGGCAUUGGUAUGAAAUGAUCUUGAAAACAGUGCCAAUGCCCAUAUCUUUCAGAGCUUUGGAGGACAGGGCAAUAGGACAAUUCUCCAGAAGUGUAUUCCCAGAUUCAACUCUCC
rnacentral:lncRNA from 1 species